rnacentral:rRNA from 1 species
UACGGGGGGGCAAGCGUUGUCCGGAUUUACUGGGCGUAAAGAGCGCGCAGGCGGUCGUACAAGUCGCGUGUGAAAGCCCCCGGCUACAACUGGGGAGGGUCACGCGAUACUGUUCGACUCGAAGGCAGGAGAGGGAAGCGGAAUUCCCGGUGUAGUGGUGGAAAUGCGUAGAUAUCGGGAGGAACACCAGUGGCGAAGGCGGCUUCCUGGCCUGUUCUUGACGCUGAGGCGGCGAAAAGCUGAGGGUAGCAAACGGGG